GGAUAAACAAGGAUUUGCCAAGGAGAAGAGGCCAAUGUCAUAUUUUUUGUGUUUCCAAACAUAUCAACGCAUAGAAAAGGUACAGUGAUCUCACCUCUGGGAAGUGUGGCUUCUGUCUUGUACUGUAGUGUUGUUCUUCAGUUCCUGUUAUUGAUUACAAAUGACAUUGGCAAUAAUCAUCACACAGAUGCAAGCUAACCCAUCCUGAUGUAUGUCAGAUGGAUAGAAGUUUUGUGUGAUCUGUAGAUGACAAGACCAUUCACAGGAUGCCUUAGGAUCCAAUUCCGUCUGCUGCACAAAGGAAGGAAUAGACAAAUGUGUCCCAACGAUCCAAUGGUAUCAGCCAUUCCCUUCCUGUAAGUGUGUGUCUGUGUGUCCCUCUGCACUCACUGGGUGUGUGAAGAAGCCAUGUCUCUUCUCCCUGCUUGGAUUUAACCCUCCUCUCUGCUGCUCUGUUUUCUUUUGUCUUUCCAAGGUUGACUUUAAGUCCAAGGAGGUGUGCCCUCGCUAGGCAGCACUGUGUUCCCACCCUUAGCUCCCUAAGCGAGCAAUAUGGAAUCCUUUGCUACUUUGAGCUUCCUGGAUAAUUACCAAUUUGUAACUUGAUAAAUGAUUGGUCUUUUCAAGUUUCAUGGUUGAAAUCAAUAAGUGGCAUUUUCAUUGCUCAAGGAAAAAGGAAAGUAAGAAAAAAGUUACACAGAGCGCUAUGAAAGGGUUAAUAUCUGCCUAUUGGAAAAGAGAA
rnacentral:lncRNA from 10 species